CGUGAGAGGCACCACAAUUUCACCGCCAUUGUGUGAGUUCUUUCAGCCUCCUGGAACAAGGAAGUGAAGAGUGAUAAAGCAGAGGAGUCUGCUGCUGGACCUGAAAACCAAAUGAAACGUCAUGGAGAACCCACAAGUCCUCCUCCACCUAAAAGAAUGCUGAGCAUGCUGCUACUGUCAGUGAAAAAGGAAGGAGAGGGAGCAUCCCACCCCGGGGGGUCAGCUGUGUCCUUGGAAGAUGGUGAGGGUGCCUGUCCUCAUGUCCCCUUCCUGACUUGACCCUGUGAACCCUGCCUCUGUCUCAUCUACUCCAGAAGAGUAGUUCCUAUUAAGGUCACUGGCUUUGGGUGAGGCUGCCAUUAAUUUCUCAACCACACCAGACCAGGUGUUCACUCUAUCCCUUAUGGAAGUUUUCCUGGAUUCCCAAACUCUGCACUCUACUGGUUUCCUUUUCCUCAUUGAAUUUGCCUUUGUUCUCCUGUCUGAUUUUCUUCUUCUCCUCAUAAUACUGUCAUUGUUCCUGAGUCCCACUGUUCCACUGUCCCUCACUCCACACUGCCUCAUCACUCAGCAAGCUGCUCCAGUAGUUUCUGAGCUUGUGUCCUGCUUUCCCACUUGACCUUGUAGGUUAUUUGUUCCUAUGCACCCAGAGUGACCAUGUCCAUACAGAAAUCAGGUCAUGACAUGCAUAUCCUGAGACCCAUCAUCAACUCCCCGAGCAGUCAGAACAGAGUUGGAGUUCCCAGCGCUGGUCUCCAUGCCCUACACAACCUGGCCCUGCAUGACCUGACCAUGCCAUCUUCUGCUUUCAUGUGUCCUCUCCAUGUCCUUCUUGCUCUCUCUGCCUCUGACAUUUGUUUACCGAUCCAGCUCAUCCCCUUCUAGGGGCUCUGCAUGGCCCUCACAGCAGCUGGAACUCCUCCACAUGGGUGUGCAUAAGCCUGCUCUAACUCCUGCUCCUGCUCCAAGCUCUGCCCAGGGGUCACCUCCUCAGAGCACCCUGCCCGACCUCACAUCAUGGAGGCUUCCCCUCCUGCUCUCAGUCAUAUCCCUGCUGACUUCCUUCCUAACACAAAGUCAACUGUGUUAAUCUUUUGCCUUUUUCACAUGUACCAUCAGCCUUCCCUAUGAGGAUGUAAGUUCCAUGAGGUUUGGGAUUGUCUUUGUCCAUUCUGUCUCUCUGGUUCCCUGCCAAGCUCCAAGUUUUUGCACAUGCCUGGCACAAAGAAGGAUGACUAAAUGCAGUUGAGGUGUCAGACUUGGUGUAGAAAAAAAUUGGCCUCCUGAGACAAAAGACUGAUGAGGAAGAUCAUGUGUUGACUGGGAUUUCUAGUGAUGGAGUGCCAAUAUCAGGCAUCCUGACAUCAAGUGACAUGUUCAUCUCUUCACCUUGUAGAGGGCAAUCAUGAUGACAUGAAGUCAUGAGUGCCAGGGCUCUGUGAAUGUUUGUUAAUUAGUUAUAUUGUCUUACUUUGUUUCUGUGUGUAUGUGUAGUGACAAGAAUAGAAGAGGCUCCUUUGUUGUAUUAUUUUUCCUGAGGUCAAAUUUUUAGGUCUGAUUCUUCUAUCUGGUAUAUUCUCCUGCUAUGAAAAGAAAUAUUAGAGACUGUGAAGCAUGUGGAUGUUCACAUGGGGUUGCUGAAAUGCACAUCAUUGUAGCUCCUCAUUCAGUUAGAUUUCCAGAGGCACCUGUCGUUCACAGUAUGUACGGGGCGGGGAGGGGAAGUGGUCGAUUCCCACCUGAUGGCUUCUGGUCUAAAUCUGAUCUCCAGAGCUUGUGAGUAUGGCAGGAGACGGUAUUCCACACAAUUAGAUUCUUUGUGUCCUGACUUAGCCAGGGUCAACAAGGGUGGGCCGAUUCACGGACCUGGUAGGAAGAAUUCCCAGCUGUCUCUCUGCAGAUGAUCCCAUGGUCACAGCAAUGCCUGUGUCCCAAGAAAUGCCAGAUAAACUGCCAAUACCAGUGGAAAUUAGUGCUGAAAUGAAACAUCAGUUAAAGAAUGAAAUUCGACGAUAUGGACAACAUAAGUAUGAAUAUGAAAAAGUCUUCAAAUUGCUUGAAGGAGUGUAAAGACCUCAAGAAUUGUGGAACAAAUUUUGUUUUAUUGUCUGUCAAAGAAACAGCAAGUUGGGUAUAGAGAGAAGCUCUGUAGCACAGCAAGAUUGAUAUUAUCUGAGUCUUACUCACUCUUCCAAGUUCCAGGAGACUUCUGUUCACACCAUAGUUUGAGAUUUAAAAGACAAGACUGAAUAAGGCACCUGGAGGAGGUACUAGAAAAAUUAGAAUCUGACCACCUUCUCAACAAUGAGAAUCAUACCUCAAACUUAUAAUUCUGUCACCAAGUUAUCAAUAUGUAACCAGAACCAGUUUGCUGUCCUAGAAUGGAAUGGGAUAUUGUUGAUGCCUCCUAGCCCAUGUUAGUUAAGAAUUGUCUACUUGAAGCUAAGAAAAAGCAUCGGAACUUUAAUGUUAUAAAAUUCUGGUACUAAGUUUGCUUUAUCAAUUCAUUUAAAAGGAUAAUUUGUUGUUUGUUUGUUUGUUUUCCCCCUAAAGUGCAGGAAUGCUGUUAAGUCAUUGGUUUAUACUACAUCCUAGCUCCUCAGCAAGUCACAGGCCUUUAGCUGGUAUUUCUAGUAUAUUCCACACUAGCAAUUUCUUUUUUAAAAUUUUAUAUUUUAAGUA